rnacentral:rRNA from 1 species
AUUGAACGCUGGCGGCAGGCCUAACACAUGCAAGUCGAACGAGUGGCGGACGGGUGAGUAAUGUAUCGGCAAGUGCCCGGUGGAGGGGGAUAACUACUGGAAACGGUUGCUAAUACCGCAUACCAUCGGAUCUGCCGGAAUGGGAUUAGCUUGUUGGAGGGGUACCGGCGCACCUAGGCGACGAUCCCUAGCUGGUCUGAGAGGAUGAACAGCCAGACUGGGACUGAGACACGGUCCAGACUCCUAGGGGAGGCAGCAGUGGGGAAUAUUGCACAAUGGGCGCAAGCCUGAUGCAGCCAUGCCGGGUGUAUGAAGAAGGCCUUCGGGUUGUAAAGUACUUUCAGCGAGGAGGCGUUACUCGCAGAAGAAGCACCGGCUAACUCCGUGCCAGCAGCCGCGGUAAUAC